CCUGGUGACCAGGCUUCAUAGAGGGCAUCACAACCCUCCCUGGUGAACAGGCUUCAUAGAGGGCAUCACAACCCUCCCUGGUGACCAGGCUUCAUAGAGGGCAUCACAACCCUCCCGGUGACCAGGUUUUAUAGAGGGCAUCACAACCCUCAUCACAACCCUCCCUGGUGACCAGGCUUCAUAGAGGGCAUCACAACCCUCCCUGGUGACCAGGCUUCAUAGAGGGCAUCACAACCCUCCCUGGUGACCAGGCUUCAUAGAGGGCAUCACAACCCUCCCUGGUGAACAGGCUUCAUAGAGGGCAUCACAACCCUCCCUGGUGACCAGGCUUCAUAGAGGGCAUCACAACCCUCCCCGGUGACCAGGCUUCAUAGAGGGCAUCACAACCCUCCCUGGUGACCAGGCUUCAUAGAGGGCAUCACAACCCUCCCCGGUGACCAGGCUUCAUAGAGGGCAUCACAACCCUCCCUGGUGACCAGGCUUCAUAGAGGGCAUCACAACCCUCCC
ensembl:lncRNA